ACUCAAAUGAAUUGACGGGGGCCCGCACAAGCGGUGGAGCAUGUGGUUUAAUUCGACGCAACGCGAAGAACCUUACCAGGGCUUGACAUCCUGUGACAUCCUAGGAGACUAGGUUUUCUAGCAAUAGAACGCAGAGACAGGUGCUGCAUGGCUGUCGUCAGCUCGUGCCGUGAGGUGUUGGGUUAAGUCCCGCAACGAGCGCAACCCUUGCCGUGUGUUGGUCGCAAGAUCUCUCACGCGGGACCGCCGGUGACAAGCCGGAGGAAGGUGGGGAUGACGUCAAGUCAGCAUGGCCCUUACGUCCUGGGCUACACACGUGCUACAAUGGAACGGACAACGAGUCGCUAACCCGCGAGGGCAUGCUAAUCUCAUAAACCGUUUCUCAGUUCGGAUUGGAGGCUGCAACUCGCCUCCAUGAAGUCGGAAUCGCUAGUAACCGCAGAUCAGCUACGCUGCGGUGAAUACGUUCCCGGGCCUUGUACACACCGCCCGU
rnacentral:rRNA from 1 species